GAUGAACGCUGGCGGCGUGCCUAAUACAUGCAAGUCGAGCGAACGGACGAGAAGCUUGCUUCUCUGAUGUUAGCGGCGGACGGGUGAGUAACACGUGGAUAACCUACCUAUAAGACUGGGAUAACUUCGGGAAACCGGAGCUAAUACCGGAUAAUAUUUUGAACCGCAUGGUUCAAAAGUGAAAGACGGUCUUGCUGUCACUUAUAGAUGGAUCCGCGCUGCAUUAGCUAGUUGGUAAGGUAACGGCUUACCAAGGCAACGAUGCAUAGCCGACCUGAGAGGGUGGUCGGCCACCCUGGAACUGAGACACGGUCCCGACUCCUACGGGAGGCAGCAGUAGGGAAUCUUACGCGAGGGGGGAAAGCCUGACGGAGCAACGCCGCGUGAGUGAUGAAGGUCUUCGGAUCGGAAAACUCUGUUAUUAGGGAAGAACAUAUGUGUAAGUAACUGUGAACAUAUUGACGGUACCGAAUCAGAAAGCCACGGCUAACUACGUG
rnacentral:rRNA from 1 species